rnacentral:rRNA from 1 species
AAUGACGCUGGCGGCAUGCUUAACACAUGCAAGUCGAACGAGUGGCGGACGGGUGAGUAAUGUCUGAGAAACUGCCUGAUGGAGGGGGAUAACUACUGGAAAAGGUAGCCAAUACCGCCAUCCAUCAGAUUAACCCAUGAGGGAAGAGCUAGUUGGGGGGGUAAUGGCUCACCUAGGCGACGAUCGGUAGCUGGUCUGAGAGGAUGACCAGCAAAAUUGGAACUGAGACACGGCCAAAACUCCGACGGGGGGCAGAAGUGGGGAAGAUUGGACAAUGGGCGAAAGCCUGAUGCAGCCAUGCCGCGUGGGUGAAGAAGGCCUUCGGGUUGUAAAGCACGUUCAGCGGGGAGGCGUUACCCGAAGAAGAAGCAACGGCUAACUCCGUGCCAGCAGCCGCGGUAAUUC